ACCAGGCACGGUGAUGUGUGCCUGUAGUCCCAGCUACUCGGGAGGCUGAGGCUGGAGGAUCACUUGAGUCCAGGAGUUCUGGGCUGUAGUGUGCUAUGCUGAUCGAGUGUCUGCACUAAGUUUGGCAUCAAUAUGGUGACCUCCCAGGAGUGGGGGACCACCAGGUUGCAUAAGGAGAGGUGAACCGGCCCAGGUCAGAAACGGAGCAGGUCAAAACUCCCAUGCUGAUCAGUAGUGAAUAGCCACUGCACUCCAGCCUGGGCAACAUAGUGAGACCCAGUCUCU
rnacentral:SRP_RNA from 1 species